GGUCUUGCCAUGAAGGACAUUCAAGCAGUUCUGAGGAGAGGCCCAAGUGAAGAGGAACCAGUUGCCAGCACCACCCUGUCAGCUAUGUUAGGCCCCUGCCUAUAUAAACAAUUUGAUUAAAAACAUAUAUUUAAAAAUUCAUCAGUACAUGUGAGAUAUGAUGAUUUAUCAUUGAAGAUUUAGGAUGAUGGGCAGAGAAAGGCAAUCUGUUUUGUCUAUUGUCCAAUCAGUGCACGUGAAGAUUUGUUACAGUAUCCAGGAAAGACUAAAAAAGACCAAGCCUGUUAAACAACUCCAUCAAAGAAAAACAAGGAAGCCAUCCAGCUUUGUUCUGGACUCAGCAGCUAAGAUGGCAUGAGCUUCAUCGUAAAGCAUAGUUCUAUGUCAUGUCUACUGGAUGAAUCCAAUGUGGCUGGUCCCUUAAUAAUCCCAUUGCAGUUAACACUGAAUCACUAAGGUUUUAUCCAGGAAUAGUACUCAAAGUGCUCAGAUGUUCCUUUAAAUUCAUUUACCUGGGUAACUGCUGAAAGAGAGGCGACUACUGCUGGUAUCUUUAUCUAUGACGUUGAAGUCCCAGUGUUUAUAUAUCCUGAGCAUGGCUGCAUACGUGUACCAGCUUGAGUGAGCAAAAAGGAUGUUCUCAAAUCCAGGAAGAACCUACAGCCAGAAUCAUAGUGGAUUACACAGAUGUACAUAGCUAACUGACUGCAAUUGUCUUAAGUGUAAGAGGCAUACAGGGAUUGUGCCAUUUCAGGUAAUAUACAGCAAAAACAUUCAACUAAGAUGCUUUUGGUUUUGAUUGUGUGUUUACUAUAAGACUAACUGACCAGCCAGCAUUGACUUUGAAGCAAUUAUCAGAUUGUACUUGAACAUGAACUUUGUGCAAACUGGAGAGCACGGCUCCAGGAAGAUUCAAUCUGCUGGAGCAGGUCCGGGUUAGGCAUCAGCAAAUUGGUUUUGGGGUAGAGGUGGUGGGAAGACAAACACAAAUGACAUUUUAACCA
rnacentral:lncRNA from 1 species